AGAGUUAAACAGUACGUGAAAUUGUUGAAAGGGAAACGAUUAAAGUCAGUCGUACUGACGGGAAAUCAGCCUAUUCGAGUGCGGAUCAGUGGGAUCAAAGUGACUUUGUUCUUGCGACAUCUGCAAUCCUUUGGUGUACUUUCUCGUGUUGUAGGUUAGCAUCGGUUUUGAACAUCAUAAAAUGAUUGGAGAAAUGUAGCUUCGACUUCGGUUGAAGUGUUAUAGACUCUGGUAGAUGUAAUGGUCGAGACCGAGGAUUGCAACGAAUACCCUGUCCCACAAGGGCUAUCUGCCUGGCCACUGAUUGUCACUUUCGCAUCGAAAGCUUGCUUACGAUGUUAAAGUGUGCGGUCAAUAGGUUAGAACGGAUUAAAUUCGUUAAGGAUGCUGACGUAAUGGCUUUAAACGA
rnacentral:misc_RNA from 1 species